UAACCAUGCAGCCAUCGCUCAAGUACUGCAAAGUAUUAUGAAGCUCUUUUUAAGGGAAGGAAAUCCCAUCCCCAACGUAUCAGAGUUUCUGAUGCACAUCCAUCAGCAAUAUGACCACCUAAGGACUUGUUUACAACCAAACAUCAACCUUUCUUCGCCUGAUGCCGGAGUAGCACAGUGUUUCCAACAUCUGCAUGAAUUUUUGAACAAUCAUCCGAACACUAUCUGCACUUGGCAGAUGCUGAGCCGCGAUUCCAUGGUGAUGCUUCAACUACUUGAACAGAAGAAGGGAAAGCACCGUAGCCUUCUGUGAACGAA